UAGGGAAUCUUCCACAAUGGACGCAAGUCUGAUGGAGCAACGCCGCGUGAGUGAAGAAGGUUUUCGGACCGUAAAGCUCUGUUGUUGGUGAAGAAGGAUAGAGGUAGUAACUGGCCUUUAUUUGACGGUAAUCAACCAGAAAGUCACGGCUAACUACGUGCCAGCAGCCGCGGUAAUACGUAGGUGGCAAGCGUUGUCCGGAUUUAUUGGGCGUAAAGCGAGCGCAGGCGGAAGAAUAAGUCUGAUGUGAAAGCCCUCGGCUUAACCGAGGAAUUGCAUCGGAAACUGUUUUCUUGAGUGCAGAAGAGGAGAGUAGAACUCCAUGUGUAGCGGUGGAAUGCGUAGAUAUAUGGAAGAAUACCAGUGGCGAAGGCGGCUCUCUGGUCUGCAACUGACGCUGAGGCUCGAAAGCAUGGGUAGCGAACAGGAUUAGAUACCCUUGGU
rnacentral:rRNA from 1 species